rnacentral:lncRNA from 1 species
AUGAGAGGGAGUAGAUGUAUCCCGGAGAGAACAUAUACCUACAUUAUCUCAACUGGACUUCACUCCCUGAUGCCUCUUAUCUUGCUGCCUGUUCCUGGGAGCAGCAAAGUCCUUCUGUGGGCGACCGCAACCUCCGCGUGGGUCCGUAAUGACAAGGUGACUUCAAAGAUGGCAGAUUAUAGGGGCAGAUCUGCAUGCUGUAUCUGACUGACACUCAACCAGGGAUACCAGAAGUGUUUUCUCCAUGGUUGGUGGUAUAUUACUGCUUCUUAAAGACCAAUCAUACCCAGCAGUCCAAGGUCAUCAACUCCUCUGCAGAUGAAGUGAGCUACAAAGAGCAAAAGAAGACCAAUGCAUUUCAACAGAAAAACAUCCGCCCUACUUAGCAAGGCAGAAGCCCACCUCUAAAACAUUUUUAACCCAAGGUUGCUUUAUAAUUAGUCCUACAAGUCCAACAGUAUUACACUCUCAUUGUCUAUUGUUGGUUUUGACAUAAGUUCAAACCUUAAAAUAUAUACUAGAAUUUCCAAGUUACAUACUCUGGAAACAUAAUUGAGUUUCUGUAUUAGGAUGAAAUCUCUUCAGUUUUGUGUAUUUGGGUAUGAAAUCUCAAACCCAGUCACUGUGAUACAAAGAGUGUAGGAGAACAAGGAGAGGAUACCAAGCCUCCGGGAGCCAUGAUAGGGGAAUUAUCCAUGCAAACAGACAAAUGUCUUCUGAAUUUAAUAUGUUAGCACAGUCGUAGGUAAGUGAUUUAAUGCAGCUCUUAAAUGCAGCCCCUGUGUUGUCACUGCUCCCACUUAAGAGUAGCUCAGCUUUGCCCUGUUUGUUAGAAAGGGACCCCUGUCCUGCCCACGGAGCACAGGGCUGCUAAGUAGCACCAGCUCUCCACCAUCUGGGAGCUAUGCUUCCUAACCCAGAGCCUCUCACCCUUAAUUUCCACUCAACUUUCAGGAGGAAGACUAUAUUUAGGUCAGUAAGGAUAUGACCAAAAAUAAGUAAACAAAUAGGGAUUAAAAAUAGGAAAUAAAUAUGAACUCCAAUGGAGUAAAACUUCCUAU